rnacentral:rRNA from 1 species
UACGUAGGGGGCUAGCGUUGUCCGGAAUCAUUGGGCGUAAAGCGCGUGUAGGCGGUCCGGUAAGUCCGCCGUGAAAGUCGGGGGCUCAACCCUCGGAUGCCGGUGGAUACUGUCGGGCUUGAGUACGGAAGAGGCGAGUGGAAUUCCUGGUGUAGCGGUGAAAUGCGCAGAUAUCAGGAGGAACACCAAUUGCGAAGGCAGCUCGCUGGGACGUUACUGACGCUGAGACGCGAAAGCGUGGGGAGCAAACAGG